rnacentral:rRNA from 1 species
UGUUGGAGAGUUUGAUCCUGGCUCAGGACGAACGCUGGCGGCGUGCUUAACACAUGCAAGUCGAGCGGAAAGGCCCUUCGGGGUACUCGAGCGGCGAACGGGU